ACUCAUUUAUUAGUAGACUCGUGAGAUUUGAAUUAUUUUGGCAAUUCGGUGUUGCCCACGUGGUUGCCUUCAGCGUAUUUGUAAGGACUGAUUUUCUCGGUUGAGUGAGUCUCUAGGCAAAGAUGAAAUAACUUCUGGAUACCGGAUACCAUCACUGUGACAGAAAGCUUCAGAAUCCUCAAAUCUGUAUUCCUAGGUGUAGUGUCCUUUUCUUUGAUAAAAGUUAGUGAUCCCGAAAUUCCGGGCAUUUUAAUCACUGUUUUUGGAUCGGUAGCUCCAGUGUUGGAAGAAUUCUCUUCUCUCUGCCAUAGUUUUCCCAUGCUAGGAUUACUGGCCGAGAAGUUGUUUUGGUGGGCAAGCUGCUUAUGCAGAGAGGCUUUCUUUCAGAGGUGUUUAGAGAGCGUGCUUUCCAUUCUGGGAAUAGGCAGCUGCUGGAGGGAGUGGCCACGAGCCCGCGAGUAGGUGAGCACAUUGCGCAACCUGGACUGUGCCUGGCCCGGGUGGGAGGAGGUCCUGAGACUCCCUCUACACAGAGCUUGUAAACUGGCAGCCUCCGGCCCACAGACCUUUUUGUGUGCCUGUAUUGUGUUUACAAACCUUUGAGUAGUUGCUCAGGUUUGAAAAUUGAGAGCUUUUAGAUAAAAUGGUGGAUCGCUGGCUUAUUUUGAAAACUUGGAAGACCUGAUCAUAACUGUCUGGAGCUGCACAGCUGCUGCCCUUUUUAGGUCUGGUUCUCAAUGUCUGGCCUCCUUUAUUCAUGUGUAUUGACUGACCUGUCUGGCAUUUAGGGGCAUUUGACUGGGAUUCUUGCUGUAAAUCCUUAGGAUGAGUAUAUGUCCACAUUGUACUGAACCAACCUAUCCUACCAUGUAAAAUUUUAUUCUACUUUUACUGUCCAAAUGUCAACAGAAUUUUUAAUUUCUCUUUUAAGAGAAUCUCAGACCAAGCAAUGAAAGAAAGUUUAGGUGGGGUGUACAUGAGCUGCUGUUUCAAAAAGUACCAGAGCAGAUGAAAAUGAUUUUUAAUGCCUUCAAGUUCUUGCUAGGUAGCUCUUGCCUUAACCCCAAACCGAGCAUUUGAAAUAACAGCCUCAGACAGUUUCUUGAAGAGUCUUCCCCAGGCCAGCAGCGUUGGUAUCUCUUGGAAACUUGUUAGAAAUGCGGUUUCUCAGGCCCCACCCUGGACUUCGUGAAUCGGAAUCUCUGGGGGCCGAGUGAUCUGUGCUUUAACCAACCUUACACUCGAUUCUAAUUUGCUAAAUUCUGCUCUAAAGGUUUUUAGAGUGCGGUAUAGCUUUUUUUCUUUCCUAUUGGCAGUAUAGAAAUUCAGAAAUAAGGAUGUAUUCGUGAUUUAUUAGCAUUGCGUGAUUUUUUCAAAUUUCUUUUUUGCUCUCCUUUUGUGUCUCCUGUACUCCUAUUGGAGUUUCCAAAGAAGCACAUAAAAGAAGGAAAAUAUCCAUUAAAAAAAAUUUUUUUUAAUGUUUAUUUACUUUUGAGACAGCAUGAGCAGGGGAGGGGGAGAGAGAGAGAGAGGGAGACACAGGAUCCGAAGCAGGCUCCAGGCUGAGCUGUCAGCACAGAGCCUGACACGGGGCUCGAACUCACAGACCACAAGAUCUGACCUGAGCCAAAGUCAGAUUCUCAACCGACUGAGCCACCCAGGCGCCCCGGAAAGUAUCUGUUUGUAAGUGACAUUUGACAAAGAACAAGCCAAUUUGUGGCGUGAAGAAAGUAUUCUGAAUAAUUUCACUGAGUUUGUAGAAGGUUGUGUGUCAGACUAGCUAACAUGUCUCCUUCAACAAUCUCUUAGAGACGCUGAUUUCCCAGGCAUUUAACACCAUUUAGCUAUGAAAUUUAAUACACUUAACAGGUUUUAAUUGUGAAAAAGAUACUCUCUUUCUUCCUGUGAAGGCAGUUGCUAUUUUGAAAUGAAUUUUUUGCCCAAAAUGGCAAAUAGGAAGUAAUUUUGUCAGGAGUGGUAGAAUUGGAUACUGACAAAAACCAUCAUAUUUUCAUCUGAAAUUGAAUACUUUUGCAUUUCUAAAAUGAAUUACCUUAUUUGCCACGUUGGAAAAGCAACAAAGGUUUCCUUUAAUGUGUAGUAUAUAUUGUGAUUAAAGUAUAAAUAAAUUAAUAAAAGUAUAAUAAAAGAUGCUUGAAAAUGCAAUAUUCCCUAAAAUCAGCAUUUCAGAGUCUGUAAACACAUUACAAGCAAUGAAAGUUGCUUCAAGGAGAAUUCAGACCCUCCCAUUUUGCCGUUUGCAAAACCAUAAAAAGCUGUAAGCUUAAAUCCAGUUUGACUCAUGAAUCUUCCAGAAACACACUGUAAUCUUUUAGUCUAAGGUGGCUUGAAUGCCAGGAGGGGUGAACAAGACAGAUGCGGCUGGAGCUUGCAGUGGUGAGGGAGACAGACGUUAGGUCAGAUAAUCUAUCUGUUCAGGUAAUAAUGGCAUCGAACGGGAAAAAAAGCCACAGUAAAGAGAUAGCAUGAGAGAAGGUCUUGCAGAGCAAGGAGACGUUUACCAAGACCUGAAUGAAGAGGGGCAGCAUGUACAAAGGCUCUGAAGCUGGAUGUGGUGGGCAUGAUGUCAGGAGAGAACGAAGCCCGUCGUGGCGGGAGCAGAGUGACAUGGUUGAUAGCAGCCCUGAUGUAAACACUUCGGUAAUUAUAGACAUGUGAGCGCGUUAAAAUCACCUUGGGAUCAAAAUAACAGUCAAAAUCCAGCUAAAUCUUGUUAAUAAGAGAUAAUAACGAAAAUAAAAUAUCACUGAAAAGUUUAAAACAAGAAAAACACACACUCAGCAAAAUCCUCGCUGAAAGGUAGUAGCUGAAAGAAUAUUAAUAUCAGAUAAAAUAGAAUCUAAGACAUAGUGCAUGGGGAAAAGAUAUGUUUCCUAUUGCUAAGAGCUGUGCUUGGUCAGAAGACCUAAGUCGUGAACUUCUGUAAGUAUGUAUACUUCUCCCAAAUUGCUAGAAACACAGGUGGCAAUGAGAAAACGGCAGCCAUAGAUUAAGGCGUAAAUUGUCUUCUCAGAAUUGGACAUUUCAGUUAAACAGACAAACAAAAAAAACAAAACAAAACAGAGGACUACAGUUAACAAGGUUGAUAAAACCGAAAAUAGGAACACUUUUCAAAUCUCUAUGACACUUUGAAGACAUAUAUGGAAGAGUCACAAAAUUUGACUAUGUUUUAAAGUUGCUCAGAAAAAAAUCCCAUAAAGAAACGAUACAGGCCACGUUCACAGACUAUAACACAAGAAAAUUAGAAAUUAACAAUAAAAUAGCUAAAACCACUUUGUUCCAUUUGGAAAUGUAAGAGUAUAUCUCCAAAUAUUUAUUGUUUUCAAGAUAAAGUAGAAGUUGUAAACUAUUCAGAAAUGAGUUACAAGUACCCUGCAGGGUUCAGAUCUGUAAAUUAAACCUAUAGGAUGCAGCAAAAAUGGUACUCUGAGGAAGAUUUAUAGCCUUAAGUGUAUUUUCUUUUCAGGAUGUAAGAAAGACUGAAAAUAAGACAAAAUAGGAUAAAGGUAAAAGCAGAAUUCGGUGCAUUAGAAAACAAACAACAGAGUUGUUAAAGUUGUAAAACUAAAUGCUGGUUCUUGGAAAGGACCCACGCAUGACAGAUUCGAUCAAGUUGAAAAGGAAGAAGGUCCCAAAAAACUGCAAGAGAGAAGGGAAGAGAGAGUUACUAAAGAUAGAGGAAUGUCAGAGUGGGAAGAGAAUAUUACUAUUUAUGAUGUGAUGUCUCUACAAUUGAAAACCUAGGUACACAGCUGUCUAAAACAUAGGCCAGAGUUCCUUCCCAUAUGGAAAUGUAUCAAGAUGUUUUUGAACCAGAAGGAUAAUGAGGUUGGACCUAUACCAUCAGGCGUCAGAUUGCACAAAACCACAGCAAUGAAAGCAUUGUGAUAACUGGCAUAAGAAUAGAACACAGAUUAGAGGUGUAGAGAAUAGAGUCAGGAAACAUACCUGUGUAUAUAUAGGAGUCUGUGUAACAACAGUAAAAUGCAAAAUAACGUAAACAGUGUGACACCAUUUUUGUUUUUUAAUAACCACAAAACAUGGUACAUAUUUCUGCGUAUAUGCACACAGGUGACUGCAGAGAUAAAAAACAGCAUAUGAAAUGAUUUGAUGAGUCAUUACCUUUGAGAACGUCAGUUUUAACUGUUUUUACAGCAAGAACGUAUUUAUUACUCUUAAACUAUUGCUUAAAUUUGAAAAAAAUAGAAUGUUUUAAAAAAUUCUGCAUAGGUUUUUCUGUGUGGGUUUUUUUUUUUUUAAUGUUUAUUUCUGAGAGAGAGUGUGAGCAGGGGAGAGGCAGAGAGAGAGAGAGAGAGAGAGAGAGAGGCAGAAUCCAAAGCACACUCCAGGCUCUGAGCUGUCAGCAGAGAGCCCGAUGCGGGGGUCGAACUCACGGACCGCAAGACCAUGACCUGAGCUGAAGUUGGAAGCUCAACUGACUGAGCCACCCAGAUGCCCCCCACCUUUUUUUUUUUUAACGUUUAUUUUUGAGAGAGACAGAGAGACAGAGCAUGACCAGGGGAUGGGCAGAGAGAGAGGGAGACACAGAACCCAAAGCAGAUUCCAGGCUCCGAGCUGUCAGCACAGAGCCCAACAUGGGGGCCUGAACCCAUGAAACGCGAGAUCAUGACCUGAGCUGAAGUCGGAUGCUUAACCAACUGAGCCACCCAGGUGCACCCCCACUCCUGGUUCUAGUCUAAAUAGAGUCAGCCAGAGCUUCUGCAGAUCUAAAUGAUCUAGUACUUUUCAGUCUUAAUAACUUUAUUAAGUAUUAUUAUUAGUUCUUGGUCUGUUAGUUUUUGGAGUAAGUUUCUUAUUUAUUCAAAUGAAGUUGUUUCCAGAUAUCUUACAACUCAUUCUACAGAAUUGAUAGUAGUUGCCCCCACGUUAACUCAGUCUCUAUUCACUGAAGCCCUCUGUAUGUAUACUUUGUGUGAUUAGGCAAGGCUGAGAGAUCCUUGACAGCCAGGACUGAUUUAACUCAUCUUUGUAUUCCUAACAUCUAGCAAUUGCCUGACUUAAAGUUAGCACGCUAUUUUUUUUAAGUUGAUUUAUUUAUUUUGAAAGACAGAGAGUGUGUGAAUGGGGGAGACAGAGGGAGAGGGAGACUGAGGAUCUGAAGUGGGCUCUACGCUGACAGCAGAGAGCCCCAUGGUUAGCACACUAUUUUGAUUACACUCUGAACACAGUCUCUGAAUUAAUUCAACAAAUACAGUCACUAUCCUGAGAGAGUUGAUAGUGUAGCAAACAAGACAGAUAAUCAAAUCACUUUGAUACAUUGUGCUAAUAAUAGCUUACAUUUAUUGAGAACUUCCUAUGUGCUUGGCAUUGGACUAAGUCCUUCCUAUGUAUUAGCUCAGUCCUUGUAACUUUCCCAGGAAGCAGGUAGUAUUGUUGCUAUUUUACGGAUGAGCAAAGUGAGGCUUAAAGAGAGUAAGUAAUGGGCUAAAGUGGUACAGAUGGUAAGUGGACAGUGGGGAUUUGACCCAAAGCAGUUUGGCACCAGAGUCCAUCCUCUUAACCACCUUCUGUAAGCUAUUGUGGUAAAUUCUGUUUAUAAAGUGCAUAUAAAAAUUGCUGUAGGAGCCCAGAAGAGGGAGCAAGAACCUCAGCAGGAACCCCAGGGAAGGCAUCAGGAAGUCUCAUUUGAAGUGUAUUUUGAAAGAAGAAAAGGAAUUCUUGAUCUAGAGGAGGGAAAGGGUGCGUGGAGGCCUUGAGGAAUGUGGGAUGCCGGGAAGCACGGAGAGAUUGUUUUUUGGAGCCCAGCGGGUGUGGGUGUGUGAGCGGAGAGGUGCGGGACUAAAGGCCAGCUGGUCGAUAAGGAAAUGCCCCGUGUGCCCUUCUUUUUUGGGAAAUAUUUAGUAGUCUUUUAGGUUUUUUCCUUGGUGUAUCAGAAAAAUUAAUAAUAGACUCCUAAUGCAACUCAAAGAGCUAAACUAAUAUCUCUCUGAAGUUGUGCGAUAAUGGGCCCAUCAGGAUGUAAAACCAUUGAACUGUUAAUUCAAAUUUAAUUUGAUAAAAGUAACAGAACCUGAACAAGAUUGAUUGUCUGGAUUCCCUAUGCAGUUAAAGCCAUCAGAUGGCUCUUUGUGGGAGGGAAAGAUAAAUUUCAGCGCUGAGGUUUCCCCAGGAGGGUGACAACAGCCUAUGAUUUCAUCAGACUUUGUCUUAACUCUCCUUUCCUAGGUCAGGGCUCCAAAUGUGACUGUGAAGCAGAGAUUUCUAUGGGUUUUUAGAAAGAAGCUUUAUGCUGCUGUCAGGACAUAAUUGAUUAUUCAUUGUGUGAAAGGCUGCGCUCUUUGCUUUUAGUUACGCACUUCAGCAAUUAGACAUUAGGUGGGAGGUAAGAAUGAAUACUUUAUUUGUAAUUUAAAAUUAUCAAUAUGGUAGCAGGAAUGCUUUAUUGACUCAUGUUUAAAUUGAUGCAUCUUGAUGUUUUCUGGGAACGAGGUAUCUACAGCUUGAAACUUUAUCUGCCAUUGUAUAGAAACAAAAGAAUCACUGUCCAAACAAUUUGUCUUUGAGUUUAUCGCCCAUUUAUUUAGAAAUGAGUUUUAAAAGACGAGUACACAGCCUUAACUAUCCCACUGGCCGAAUGGAACCUAAUGUCUGCAAGUUGGAGUUUUAUCGCUGGCAGCGCGCACUGUUACGUGGUUUCCCGUGAAGCGACAAGCCUUACUUUGUUCAUUUGUGAGAACGUGGCUUCCACGUUUCCAAGUCCGAGUGGCCACAGUGUGUCAUUCUUUCAAGGAGAAACAGUGUUCCAUGAGAAAAGCAGCUCGUUCGCAUCACAGCUUAUUUGCACAAGCACUCUGCUUCAAGCCGGCCAACCCAGUGCGGUGCACGGCACACCCCAGUGCUUUAUGCAAACUUCCCAUUUCGUCGCAGAUGGUAUUAAAAAGACAUACUCCAAGAUUGAACUUAAAUAAAAUUACUGCUUUUUACUACUUCAUCAAGGACAUUCUUUUUUUUUUUUUUAAGUUUGUUUAUUUAUUUUGAGAGAGACAGCGCGAGUGGGGGAGGGACAGAGAGAGAGAGAGAGAGAAAGAGAGAGAGAUGGAGAAUCUCAAGCAGGCUCCACACUGUCAGCGGGGAGCUGGAUGCGGGUCCCAAACUCACAAAGUGUUGAGAUCAUGACCUGAGCCGAAACCCAGAAUCGGACAGUUAACCAGCUGAGCCACCCACGUGCCCCAUCAAGGACAUUCUUAAGGAAAUUGUUUGUUUGUUUGUUUGUUUGUUUGUUUGUUUUCUUUUUUUUAAGUGGGCCCUCACACCCAGCAUGGAGCCCAAGGCAGGGCUUGAACUCGCCACCCUGAGAUCAAGACCUGAGCUGAGAUCAAGAGUCAGAUGCUUAACUGAGUCACCCAGUUGCCCCUUGUUAGGUUUUUUUGUUUCUGUUUUUGUUUUUGUUUUUUAACUGGAGCCUGUGGUCGUGAAGAAUUCAAUAGCUGCUAGUACCGUUUGGUGCCACUUGAUUCAUACAGAGGGGCUAGCAGUGUUACUCACUGUUGCUUUUGUACCGUUAGUGUAAAUGUCAGCAAUGGUAGAAAGGGCAAAUCAUAUCUCUAUGAAGACAGUUUGGUUCCACAGUUUCCUUAAGAGGGUGUGAGGGGUUUCCCAGGUGUCUGCAGGCUGUACUCUAAGAACUGCUGAUCUAGAAGCUAACUCAGACUAAAAUCAGUUCUUUUUGGCAAGGAUAUUUCAUAGAUGGCACGUGCACUUCCAUCAGGAGGUUCAGAAUACCUGAAUAUAUGCUCAUCUCUCUUUCUCUUCUAUAAGCCACUGAGGGUCAUUGCCUACAUGCAUUAUUUCAUUAGGGGUUGCAAAAUUGUGACAUUUGAUCACUCCUUUUCCAUUUACCAACUGAAAUAUUUCUAUAGUGAAGUGCUUCAUUAAUUAUGUAAUCUCAGCUAUAAUUUAUAUAGGAAAAGCAGCGAUAUCAAAAUAUUUGAUGCAUUUCAAUCUUUGCAGUUACUAUUUUUUAUGUUCAAAUUCUUCCAUCUCGCUAUGACCCCAAUAGUUCUUUUUAAAAUAAAAAAAAUUGGUUUAGUGAUGUAUAUACUCCCCAGCAACUUUUCUCAUGGCCUCCUUUCUUUCUAAUGUGAUGAGCUGUUCCAGGCUCAUGUUGUAUGUUUCUUGCUCCAAACCUGGAAGCAGCCACAUUUUUAAAGCUUUUUUGAGGUAUUAUUGGCACAGAAUAUAUGUGAGUUGAAGGUGUAUAGCAUGAUGAUUUGAUACAUGUAUAUAUCGUGAAAUGAUUACCACAGUCAGGUCAGUUAACUCUUUUAUCCCCACACACAAUUAUAUGUGUGUGUGUGUGUGUGUGUGUGUGUGUGUGUUUGAUAAGUUUUAAGAUCUACUCUCAACUUUCAAGUAUAUGAUACACUAUUGCUAAUUAUAGUCACCAUGCUGUACAUUAGAUUGCCAGAGAGUAACUCAUCUUAUAGCUAGAGCUUUGUACCCUUUAACCAACAUCUUUCCUUUUCCCUGAUCCCCAGUCCCUGGCAACCACCAUUCUGCUGUUUUUUGUUGUUGUUAUUGUUGUUCUUUGUUCUUUGUUUUUUGUUUUUUGUUUUUUGGUUUGUUUUUUUUUUUUUUUUUUGAAUUCAUGGAAACAGCCAUUGUUAGGAGGAAUUUUCUGCUUCCUUUUAGUGGGAAAUAGUAUUUAGAGACCAUGUUCUGGGUACAGGGAGUGCUCACCGCAGUUAGGUCAUCAUUUUCCCAUAGGCCUUUUCAGUGGGUAAGACCAGAAAGUAUGUUUAUUACAAACUCAUGAGUUCUUACGCUAUUUCCAGUACAGGUUGAUACUACAGGGCUUGCUCUUAAACACAUCGAUCCUACAUCUGUAACUCAUUCCCUCACCCUAAGGGUCUCAGCAACUGCAAUGUAACUUGUCAUCUGCUUUAUGUCCCACAGUACAUAUGCCAUCCCCGAAUCACAAUACCAUCACUUCCACCAACAAUAAUUACUGAAAACAGUUUAAUAUUUGUAUUGCACUUCUCUUUGUCCUUAGGCCAUAUCCCCGGUGAGAUGUGCGGUCAAAUCAUUGUAUGCUUAAGUCACUUGCAAUAAUUUCUGUCUGUGUGGUUGUGCCACAGACACAGUAUGUAGAUAGAUUUGUUUUCUCAUCUUGUGUUUUUAGAUAUUGCUUUUUAUUGUUUCAGUUUACAAUUAUAUAAACUAUACAGCUCCAAAGGUAGAUUUACAGAACAGAGUUAUUUGGACUUUGCCUCUGUCCUUAAACCCUCUACUAUUAAAACUUCUGUUAAAGCCUCUCUCCUUUUUUGUUGUUACGUUUUGGUUAUAAAUAUUUACAUAUACAUGUGUAUUUGUACUCUCCUUAGAUAAGCAAUAGUUCACAUACUUUCAUCAUGUACUUUAACCUACCUGUUUUCACUCAACUGUAUAGCCUAGAAAUCACUCCGCAGCAUUGUACAGAGAGAGUCCUCGUUCCAUUUUUUCUGAUGCUUAGUGUUGUGUUGUGUGGCUGUAUGACAGCUGAUUCAGCCAGUCUUCUGUCGAUAGACAUUUAGGUUGUUCGUAGUGAUUUUAAAGUCGAUCACUUCAUCAGCCCAUUCCUAAACAGAGAACGAAGCUUUCUGUAAUUUGCCACUUUUGUUUUGUAAGGCUCAUGCUUUAGUCUUUCAGUUUUGAGAAGCGAGUUACAUACUUAUGCCUUUAUGGCUUUCUCUCUCUUUUUUUUUUGUAGUUAAUGUUUUUGUUUGUUUGUUUUCCGUUUUAUUGGCAGCUAGUAAAUUUAUUCACAGUUCUCUCUCUGCCACAAUCUGGUGAUGUUUAUAUAAACCAAUUAGACCUUAACGUAGUCAUAGCACCUGUAUCACAGGAAGGUGCGUGAUGAGUCUCCUGGCAAACACUUAGAGGCGGGAGUGUCCGAAUGUUCUUGGGUUGGUAUUAACAAGUGAAGGAAUUCUCGGAGGACGGGAUUUCCUAAUUGCUGUAAUCAGAACCUGAAAUUUCUUUGAGUAUGAAUCUCAUUACAACCAAAGCCAGGUUUGGUUCAGUUCCUUUAAUUUUGCUAAAUUUGAAGUCAGAGGAGAGAAAGGAAAACUAUUCUAAGUUUAGUAUUAUUUACUCUUCAUCAGUAAGAAGGUUCCAAAGGCUAAAAAAUAUUUUUAAAUGUAAAUUAUUUAUCAAUCUAGAAAGCAGAACUUGAAAUUUUCAGCUGGGGCAAAUGUAAAUUGUUUUUUUUAUUGCCGACCCCACAGCCAUGACUUAGAAUUGUGAUCUCAUUCACCUAGACGUAUCUGUGUUCACUCUUCUUCCUUUGAGCUUCAAAGAUACUUUUUUCCAGUCUUCCUUCUCAGCCUCACCUCCCAUUUUUUUCCUCACAUGGACUCCUGACAGUUCAGUAAUCUAUAUUUCUGGAACAUGAAAUACUGAGAAGACAAGGAGCUUUAUGCCAAUUUCUCACCCCCAUCUGAAGAAAGAAUCUCCUUUAGAAUUCUGAAAGCAGUAUUUGCUUUUAUAGCCUCAUGCCUUUGAAAGAAAAAACAUGGUGUGAACUUUUCUCAUUACCUGAGAUGUAUUCCUUGUAUCAUUCCGUCUUCUGACAUGAGUACAUUUACUUAAAUCUUGUUGUUCCGCCACUCAAAUGAAAUACAAUAGAAUCGAGCGUCUUCUGCCUUUGAUGACACGUUUACUCUAAGCAGGAGAAACUGAAUGGAAUGCAUUUGGGAUGCACGUCUCUUUUCCUUUCUUCAUCUCACUGUUGGAGCUGGAUGCUGUUGGGACUGAGGUUUUGAGGGAAGGAGGGGUAGGGAGAAGAGGAUUCAGACAGGAGGAAUGGUUGGUUUAAUUGAAAUGCUACUGAGAAAUUUAUUGAGAAAUAAAUAUUGAUAUUUAUUGAGAAAGGUAUUGAAACACUACUGAGCAAGAUCGAGCUCUUUGGGUACAUAGGUUGUUCUGCACAUCUAAGUAUCAGACAGGAAAGUGUUGUAUUUCACAUUUGUUUAGAAGGUCUUACAACGUUGCCGUGGGGUCUGUUUGUGAGGACACAUGAGUUGCCUAUACGUACAUGUACCUAAGUGCCUGCUGGUUUGCUAACGCCUGCUAGUUAAAAGCCCUGCAGUCAGACUUUUCUGAUCCUGACCCCAGCACUUACCGAGUAUAGUUUUAGGCUAGUUUCUUUUCCCCUCUGUGCCUCAGUUUCCUCAUCUGCGAAGUAGAGGUAAUCCUAGCACCUAUCAGAUGGAUUCUGUGUCUGUAUGAGAAUUAAAUGUGGUAGUGCAUAUUAAGUGCCCUCAACAUAGGCACUUCAUAAAUGUUAACUUCCUCCUCCUUCCCUCCCUUCUCCCUGCCUUUCCUGAAACACUGUCCGCAGAGGAAACUGCAGUAACCCAAUCCCCUUUCCCUGGUGAUUUGACACUGGCUUCCACUUGAAAACCAGAAAUACAUCCCAGAGACACUGACGUCGACCUGCUGUAAGAGAGAGGAAGGAGAGCUGUUGCCCGCUGGAAAUGGAUUACCCAGGGUGAUCGUGGGUACCGUUCUUGGGGCUUCCCAGUGCUUGCUUGCUUUCCCUUACUUCUCUGUUCCGUAUAGUUUUUCUUUGCGCCCGCCCCUCCUUUCAUAAAUUGUUAACAUACUGGCAGUUUUCAAAUCCGGCCACUUUUCGAUUGCUUCUGCUGCAGCACACACCUGGUGCCGAGAGACGCCUCCCCCUCGCUUCUCGCGCACGUAGCCUCCUGUGUGGAACUCAUUUGUGGUACAGAGAGGUGGCCGGCUGCAUAAAAUGAGUGAUAAAAGUAGUUCAUCAUUCUGGAAGUUGGACAUUGUGUGAAGCGAGCAGAACGAAUGUUCAGUCAUGUCAGAAGAUGGGUGCAUGGCCUUGGCUUCAGCCAGCACGGUGGAGGGGUCACUCUCCUCUUUGAGUUUCAGAUUUGUGGUCUGUAAAAAGCAUUAUACGACCUGUCUCUGUGGUCUGUAAAAAGCAUAAUACCACCUGUCCCGUUUUUCCCAAAGAGCCAGAAGAAGGAUCAAAUGAAAAUGUAGGUUGGGGUUAUUUGAACUAGGUUUAUUUUUAGAACUAUGGUAGAAUUCUACCAGCAGAGAAUUGUAAGAUUGCUUAUGUUUGGUUUUGGUUCACAGUAUGUUAAGUAUUACUUAUUUUAUUAGCAUCUCACUUUUUAUUUUACUUUAGUAAAAGAAAAUGAUAUCUUCGAACAAUAACAACCCAGACGCAGAAGGCCAAGGGAGUAGUUAAGCUCAGACUUCUGGUAUACCUUUGUUUGCCGAUGGUGGUAAUGUUAUCACCGCCAUCACAUGUUAGGUUAAUAUAACACUUAAUAUAGUUAAAAGAGCAUUUAUACUUUCCUCUUCAAUUUGGUGAUGCUUACUGUGUUCCUGUGAAGGAGGCAAGGCAAGGUUUCUUAUGUCUUUCAGAGUUUGAAGAUCUGAAGUCCAGAGACAUUAAAAGGCAACUUUCCUGCUUAAUGCCAGAGUUAGGCCUAGAACCCAAAUCCCGAGGUUGCCUCCGGUCUCUGUUAAUCCUCGAGUGCUUUCUUACAUGAAGAAAACAAAGCAAAACAAACCGACAAUGAGCUCCAGGCACAUACUAGGUACUUAUUCCAUGCUACAAAGCAGUAAAAGAAUCUUCUUUCAGAUAAUGUGUGAUGGGGACUAUGGAGACCAGGAAAACUGAUUUCAGGUUUAUUGUGUGUUCCUGGGAAUUCUGUGAUACUAGAAGAGCAUUUGCUAUUGACACCAAAUGAUUUUUUUCAUGCCGAUUCAGAACAUACUGCAGACUGGCAGGCCUUACAUUUCAUUGUUUAUAUAAAUAAUUCUCUUUUGGAACAAUUUAAUUUUUACAUUCUUCUGCUGUUUCUGUUUACUUUGUAACUGUGGGUUAUGCAGUAGUUGUGCUGUUGUUCAGGAAAUGUCAUGCUAACCAAAAAGGCAUUAUUUUCAGAACACUUUCAGUUUGACUAAAGGUAACCUCUGUGAAAACAAAGGUAUCCAUUGUAGAAAAGUCUUAAUGGCCGUGGCGAACAUUUGAUAUACUCUCCCAUUGUAUCUCUGUCACAGUGUGCUUGUCAGUGUCAUUUGGGCACUCAGUCCCCGGUUUUCCUUCUCUCACACUCUGUUGUCUGUUCAAUGCUAGCUUUUCUGUAAACUUCCGUUUCUUACCUUAGACGUAGGUAUUGAAUAUUUGUAGUAACCUUCAUGUUGGUUAUUUGUCUUUCUUUUCCUCCCACCCUCUUUUUGUAUUAUUAUUACUAUUGUGAUAAGACGACUUAACAUAAGAUCUACCCUCCUGGCAAAUGUUUAGGGGUACCGUACAGGUCGUUAACUGCCAGCAUCAGGCAGUGGAGUAGAGCUCUAGGACACAGUCAUCUUGUCUACCUGAAGCUUUGACUAAUAACGUCUUUGUUUCCCCUUUACCUUGUCUUUAAAUUUUAUUGGCAGGGACACUUGUUCUCUUAAAGUUGUAGAAUUUGAGGAGAAAGUGGUGAAAGUAGCAGUUAUUGAGUGCAUGUUGUGUGGUUGGUCCCUGUAAAUGUUUUCUCCCAUUUGCCUCUCACAGAACCCUCGUACAAUGGGUUUUAUGCCCAUGUACUUGACAGUGAGGCCCAGAGACUCGAGGUGAAUAAGUGAUGGCCUUAGGUUUUUUUUAAUCCUGAUUUUCUGAUGAUAAGACCAUUGUUUUUGUCACAACUUACGUGAGAAGUGUUAUGUGUGCACUGGUGGUAAGCCUUUGUCUAAUUCAGAGGCUCCAUAUUUUCUUUCUUGGACGUGCCUAGCCUUAGCCAUGACACACAGGUGCUCAGAGUGUGUUAUUUGAUUACGUUGUUUGAAACCACUGUGUGUUCUUUGAAAAACUUUCCACAUCUUUUCAUCAUUUUUUUUUUUUUUUUUUUGCACCAGCCAUUCAUCUGUAUGUGUAGGAGCAUGUUAGUUGGCUUAUAAAUUGGAUUGAUGUGUAAUUUAAAUUCUUUGCCACUUCUUUGGUAAGACGUUGGUAGAGAACAUUGAUUGGAACUGAAGUGUUGGGAAUCCCCUAGAUUGGAGUUGGUAAAGCAUGAAAAGCAUUUAGCGAAGUGCCUGGCAGUCCUGCUCUAUUAUUCAUAUGCUGGUUCCUUUCAGAGCAACCACUUCGAUACAGUUAGAGAGAGCCACAGAUUGAGAAUCAGAUCUCAGUUCUGACAGUAACUAGCUUUGUGUCUUUCAGCAAGCCACCUAAUCUUUCUGGGGCUCUGGUUUCUUCAUCUGCUAAAUAAAUGUGAGAUUAAAACUCUUCAAGGGCCCUCAGACUCUCUGUCUUUGUUUGCUAAUCUUUAAAAUGGAGAUAAUGCAUAUCUGUCAUAAGGGGUUAUUUGAGCCUAGAAGAGAUAGCUUGUGUAAAGCAUAUAAAAGAUGUUCAGUCUAUGCAGGAUUUCCCCCCCUGUCCUUUUAGAAUGCAGGGGGUGCCUUGGAUGCCCUGGAGACCAAAAUGAGCAUAGGAAGCAGUAUAACAUACCGACCAAGAGACUGGAUUCAGUCCUAGCUUCACUGUUGACGAGAUACAUAACCCUAGGCAAGCCACUUAACCUAGGAGGAAGAUACUAAUCGUAUUUAUGUCAGGGUUAUUGAGAAAAUUAAAUUAGAAAAUGCUUUUAAAGUGCUUAGCAGAGUACCUGACAUAGCAGGCGUUCAGUAAAUCUUACUUAUGUGCGUAAUACUGAGCUGGGAGAGGUGAACCACCAGGGGAAGAGUGAAAGAUAACGAUGUGGGCUGCCCAAAACACAGAGGUGGGGCCAGCUCCCCAACUUACUUCAUGGUUUUGUCAAGGGCCCUGCUGUGGUAGCUCCACUUCCUGGUUAAAUGUUGUCUGCUUUGAAGAGUCUAGUUAGUACUUCAGAUGAGCCUAAUUCUGUUGUGACUUUCUUAGUCACAGGGUUCAAAUAUCACACACAUUGAAUCAAACAGACCUUUUAUGUGUUCUCCGAUCAGAUGGUAUCCCUUCUGUGCCUGCCUAGAAGCUGUAAGACCUGGGAAGUUCCCACAUUGAUGUUCUUUUUCAAAACCACUUUAAUCCUGAUGGUGCCCUUGAGAGAGAGAGAGAGAGAGAGAGAGAGAGAGAGAGAGAUGGAUGUGUGUGUGUGUGUGUGUGAGAGAGAGAGAGAGAGAGAGAAAGAGGAUCAGAGAAAAAGAGACAGAUCCCCAGAGAGACACCGAGAGCUGGAUCUGGGCACCCACACCUGUCGAGCGCUUCCGUUUGUAAAUGCUGAGUUUGCACUGUGCACAACAUUGGGUCCGAGGGUGGCCAGCUGCCAGGGGAAGGGCCAACUCAGAUCCCCGUUACAGAGCCACCGGUCCCUUCUAUUUGCUCUUUGUUCAGGAAAAUCCUAUUGAAUAUUAAACACUAUUCUAGGAUUUUGUAGCCUUUAGACAUGGAGGUAUCUUUUAAAGAUUAUAUUCCCUUUUUGUAACUAAACUUUUUAUUUUGAGGUCAUUGUAGGUUCACAUACAGUUGUAAGAAAUAAUAUGUGUUGAGGUCCUUUGUACACAUCUUGCAAAAUUACGGUGCCUUAUCACAACCAGGAUAUGGACAUUAAUACGUGGAGAUGAAGGACAGCUCGUUGCCACAAGGAACACCCCUGCUGGCUUUGAUAAGGCACCCCCCCCACACCCUGUUUCCUAACUCUUGGUGAUUGCUAAUCUCUUCUCCAUUUGAUGUGUCUCUUCUGGAGUUUAAAAAAUCUUAAGGGAGUGGUGUUUCAAAUGAAGUGAAGUCAGGAAAUCUGCUGCCCUCUCCCAGGGGCUCUUAUUCCCAGAAACGGCAGGCCCAAGUACAAGGUCAUCCUCACGCAUUGUGGAGAAACAUACAGUUCCAGAUCCACGUGGAAGCUUCCCGCUUUCGAGGGCUGCCAAGGCUGUACUGAUAAACCGAAACCAGGAUUAACUAGGAUUAACUUAAACCAGUUCCUGGGAUGAGUCCAGCUCCUGUGAUAAAAUACCAUAUGCCACCCACCACGUUAUCUGUGGCCACACUUCUCUGUGGCAGCUGGGCCCUUGAAGGCAGCCUCGGCCCAGAGGCUUAUUCCUGAAAGAAUGUCCAGCGACCGUCCUGUGAAUUCAGCACUUGGUGUGAGCAUUUGCAGAAACAGUGCCCGAGUUGCUGGUCUGAGAUCACUACGGCGAUUCAUGUACCCUUCAGCAAGGUUCAUGCUGCGUGUGUUCGCCCCCGCUCACACUCCUCCCAUCUCCAUCUUGUUCCCUUGGAGAGGGAAGACCCCACAGAAGGCCUAGUGUUCACUCCCCGACUGCCGCCCCGGCGCCCGCCCCCCUACGCCUCCCUUCUCUGCGAUCUGAGCCUGGGCCUGUAAAACCAGGCUGGGUGGCCCGAGCCUGGAGGAAAGCUCCGUGCGGGAGCAGAUGCCUGUCAGGUUUGGCGCCAUCCUCUUGGAGCUGCUCCAGCCUGAGGAACCUUGGCAGUUAGGGGAUCCUCCCAGCUGCUCUCAGAGAGAAGCCCCAGGCAGCAGUACUCUUCCCCUGGCAAUGGAUCACAGGGAUCACACAUCGCACCCUGAGGGGUGGGGGGCCUGGGCACACACGGUGUUUACGGUGGGAAUUGCUGAAAUGGGCCAGAGCUCUCCAGUUCACUGCAGACCGCACCACUUCCCGUCUGCAGUUUCAGAGCCGGCCUGUUGAGCUUAUUUUUUCAUUGCCUGUGCCAGCCGCUGAAAACAUCUGCUUUUGUGACCCCCGAUUUAACUAAUCCCCAAACCGUGGCCAUUUAGGUGGCCUCCAGCUUUUUAAUAUUAAACGCUGCUUUAAUAAACAUCUUUGCAUGAUAUGUAUGGCUUUAGAAUUAAUUCCUGCAAGUAGAAUGCCUGGGCCAAACUGUUUAUAAGUUUGAAAUUGUGAUUCAUGUUCUCAGAUUUUCCUACUGUUUUUGGUGUCUGAAUUGCCGGUUUGUGUAUUUUUGCAGUUAUUAAUGGAAUUCUUAUAUUCCUGAUUGAUUUCAAAGUAAGGUUGCAGGCCUUUUAACAUGUAUGGUAAAGGUAUUUUCCUAGUUUUUAAAAAAAAUUUUCACGUUUAUUUAUUUAUUUUGAGAGAGAGCACAUGCACACAAGUGAGCGUGAGCAGGGGAGGGGCAGAGUGAAAGGGAGAGAGAAUCCCAAGCAGGCUCCGCACUGUCAGUGCAGAGUCCACCUUGGGGCUCAAUCUCAUGAACUAGGAGAUCAUGACCUGAGCUGAAAUUGAGUCAGAUGCUUAAACAACUGAGCCACGUAGGAACCCCUCCCAGUUUUUAUUUUUAUUUAUUUUUUCUUUUUCCAAAUUUUUCUUUAAAUUCCAGUUAGUUAACAUACAGUGUAAUAUUAGUUUUAGGAGUAGAAUUCAGUGAUUCAUCACUUACAUAUAACACCCAGUGCUCAUCACAAAAAGUGCCCUUCUUAAUGCCCAUCACCUAUUUAACCCAUCCCCCCACCCAUCUCCCUCCAGUGACCCUCAGUGUGUUCUCUAUAGGUAAGAAUCUGCUUCUUGGUUUGCUUCUCUUUUUUCCCCAUUAUGUUUAUUUGUUUUCUUUCUUAAAUUCCACACAUGAGUGAAAUCAUAUGGUAUUUGUCUUUCUCUGACUGACUUAUUUCACUUAGCAUAAUACACUCUUGUUCCAUCCAUGUUGUUGCAAAUGGCAAGAUUUCAUUCUUUUAAUGGCUGAGUAAUAUUACAGUCUGUGUGUGUGUGUGUGUGUGUGUGUGUGUGUGUGUGUGUGUGUGUAUACACUACAUCUUCUUUAUCUGUUCAUCAGUUGAUGGACAUUUGGGCUUUUUCCAUAAUUUGGCUAUUGUUGAUAAUGCUGCUAAAAACAUUGGGGUACAUGUAAAUACAGAUUUUCCCAGUUUUUAAAAACUUGAUAGUCUCUAACUGUUCAGAUAUUUAAAUUUUUGAUUUUGAUUUAGCAGCUUUUCCUUUGUGGAUUCUGGAAUUUUAAGGUAUAUUUAGAAGUUUCUCAUAUCCCAAGAUUAUAAAAAUGUUAACCCUUUGUUUUAGAACAUAUACUUUUUUUCUUUUUUCACUAUUUAUUGUUUGGAAUUUGUGUUGAUGUAAAGGGGAAGGUAGCAAUCGACCUUCAUAUUUUUCUUAUUAGCUAGCCAGUUUUCCUAACAACCAAAAAAUUUUAAUAUCCCUGGUGAAUUUGGAAUUACCAAAUCUUGAUGGCUUCUGGUAUCUAAUAGUGUCUGUUUUUAUAGAUAGAAAAUUCCCAUUUAAAACUUUGAGUUUCAGUAUUUUUAUGCUGUUAAAACCUCUAGAAAGGAUCUGUGAACAGAACACCAGACUGGUUUUGGCAUUCACUUUAAUGCCUCUGAAAUAGGCUGAUUCUACAGAAUUGGAUCCAGAAUAUUUCUAUGUCUUGAUGCCUUUUUGCCAAGCAAAAUCGAUUAUUUCUAACCAAAAGGCCCUCAGUGCUGGACUGAAAAAAAGAGUUAGGGGGUCCUCCUGAGCUGCUUGCAUGUUAGAAUUUGGCAUCAAGGACAAUGCUUACUUUUCUUGUAAGUUUCUUUCUGUUCUCGAGCCUCCAGUGGUCAAUGCCUCUUGUUACUGAGGACUUUUCUGGAGGGAAGGGCAAAUUCAGAUCCUGUUUGUUCAAGUCCUACCAAUUGUAUUUUUCAAGUACUUUUUUUUUUCCUUGGCUGUUUGAUGACUAGAUAGCAGAAGUCUUCCUCUGCCUAGCUUUUUCUUAUAUUGGGGACCUUAGCUGUGGGUUGGCUUUGUUGUGCUGGUAUAAUUUCCCCUACGGUGAUGGGUUGCUCUAGCACAUAGAUUCUCUUUAUAGCUUUCAUUAGAGGUGCUUUCAGUAGUUGAAAAUAUUACUUGAGUAUCUUAGUAUCUUGGCAGUUUCCUCUUUUGCAGUCAUAGUCUCCUAAAUUAUUGGAACUUCUCUUAAGGUAGAUUUUAUUAUCGACGCUUGUUUUAGGCUCAGUGUGCAGGCAGGGAGGCAGGUCCUACAGUUGUGGUUAAAGGCAGUGUACGUGGUGGUUAAAACCACCAGAAGCAUUCUGGCUGCAUAUCCCAUUGUUUGCACCUGUUGGGUCACCUGGCUAACUCUGAAUUUCCUUACCUGUCAAAUAUAGGUAAAAGUCACAGCUGUCUCAUGGGACUGGUGAGAAUAUCAUGUGAGAUAAUGUGUACAAAGCACUUAGGACAGGGGCGCCUGGGUGGCUCAGUCAGUUGAGCAUCUGACUCUUGAUUUUGGCCCAGGUCAUAAUCUCAUGGUUCGUGAGAUCAAGCCCUGCAUUGGGCUCUGCACAGGCAACGUGGAGCCUGCUUGAGAUUCUCUCUCUCCCUCUCCUUCUGCCCCUCUCCCCGACUCAUACUCUCCCUCUCUAAAAAUAAAAUAAAUCUUAAAAAAAAACAAAAAA